GAGCCUUCAAAAACAUGAUCAUUGCAAUGAGAAAGCUUGCAUGCAGAAGGCUUGUUUUACCAAACAAAAACCUAAUAUCCAUGACCAACAUUUGGUAAUGAAUGUAACACCCUUUUAUAUUAAUAAUUAUAUUAACUAAGGUCCAUAAUAUCUUAGACAGGAAAUGAAGCUGAUACAUCUCGCAAAGAAAAAUACCAGAUGCAAACUGUUGCGAGAUAUAACAAAUAAAAUACAUCAGGAUAAAAGAUAUUUCGAUAUUUGAUGUGAUGCAGUUAUUACUGAGCUGAUUACAUUGAAAUACUGAACUGAAUUCACUUUAGAAUAGCAUGGCUACCCAAAACAGCCUAGUAGGACCUUAACAAUUGUAUCAAUCUACUCCGCAUGAUCCGUUAAAUAGGUUCUUCAAGGAAUCGGAUAGACAAGUAGACAGACUGAAGAUGACGUUUUUUGUCUGGGUUUCACCUUUUAGUGAGGUUUUUAGUCAGCUGCACCAACUUCAACUGAAGUUUAUCACCUCACCUUGCAGUUCAUCUUGCACCAAAUACUAAACUGUUCCCAACAUAAAGUUACUUCGUGCAAUAAGAGAUAUCUCCCUUUUAACUUUCUAAAAGAAUCCAUCACAUGAACAAAAUCUUUGGGAUUUAUGCGUGCUGAGGUGUUCAGGUCAGUCUAUAACAUUACAGAACAUAAAUCUACAACCCCCAUACAAUAAAUCUCACAUAAAACAGGAUGGUUCUGUGAGACCAAUAUUGUUCACACAAUUGACCAACUAGGGCAAUAAAGGUCGAAAAAUCUGAUAAUACAGGGUAAAUUUCAUAUGGCAUCAUUGAACUUUAAUAUAUUUCACAAACAAGUCAUUAAGCUUGAUUUCAAUCACCAAUGUACUAAAAUUUUGCUUGUUUGUUGUUAGAUGCACUCUGACAGGUUUUAGACCAAUUUCCUACAGAAGUUCUGACAUUGCUUCUAGAGGUCAGCAACCUUCCUCUGGAGGGGCUGGAUUACAAACCACAUCAGCACCCCGUGGUCACAAAGCAUUUUCAUUGAAAGAAAGUUGCACAAUGUCGAUAAUGCAUCAGUUGCAAGAUAUGAGAGCAUACCGCGUUGGUUAAUUUGAAAAAUUUUAUGAUCUAACUGCUCCAAUUUUUGAGUGACCAUAUAUGAAAUUUACCAAUCCUACAUGCAACAAUCUUGAAAAAUUAAUUCUUCAUAUUAGCGGGCUGAGAAUCGAAGCACAAAGAGUUUUAAAUAGCAUGUUUUUCUUUAUUAUUCUUAUUGCUUUAUGUCUCAGUCUAGAGCCGUUUUGGUCAAGAAGCAACCUGGAUCAAAAAGCCCAAAAACAACCAGAGGUCGAAAAUAGAUGUUUGUGUAACGGGGGAAUUGGGGUCAGGUGAAUGGGCCACAAGGCCCAGACUACUGGCCAGAGGCCUGGAACGGCCAACCAUUUUUAUGGACUGGCCAAGCCCUCGGCCACUAGCCCUGAAAAAAUAGUCCAUUCUUUGAAUUUGAUAGGCACCUUUACAUGCCCAACCGAGCACCCAGUGGCUACGCAAACUGUCCCUAUUCCAUGCUUUUAAGCCUUUUCCAAGUUAAUUGUUGUAUUCACAUAUAAACCAUCAAAGAGUAUUUUAGGGUUCUUUAUCUGACUUUUUGGUCAAAGCACUGAGAGAUUGUGUGAAUUUUAAGGAGAGGCUUUGCGUAAUCAAGGGCUGGAAUUGAGAGCCAUAGAUUUAAGCUUGUAAUCUCCGUUGUUCAAAGUGUAAUUACUAGCCAAACCAUUUAA